CAAUAGCGUAUAUUAAAGUUGUUGCAGUUAAAAAGCUCGUAGUUGGAUUUCUGGUUGGUACGGACGGUCCCGAGCAAUCGGCGAACUGUGUGUGCUGACCUUCCUCUCGGGGGCUGCGUGGUGCUUCACUGUGCUGCGUGGAAUUCGAGACCUUUACUUUGAAAAAAUUAGAGUGUUCAAAGCAGGCCUUUGCUUGAAUACAUUAGCAUGGAAUAAUGGAAUAGGACUUUUGUUCUAUUUUGUUGGUUUCUAGGACAGAAGUAAUGAUUAAUAGGGACAGUUGGGGGCAUUAGUAUUUAAUUGUCAGAGGUGAAAUUCUUGGAUUUAUGAAAGACUAACUACUGCGAAAGCAUUUGCCAAGGAUGUUUUCAUUAA
rnacentral:rRNA from 1 species